UACGGAGGAUCCAAGCGUUAUCCGGAAUCAUUGGGUUUAAAGGGUCCGUAGGCGGUCUUAUAAGUCAGUGGUGAAAGCCCAUCGCUCAACGAUGGAACUGCCAUUGAUACUGUAAGACUUGAAUUUUUGUGAAGUAACUAGAAUAUGUAGUGUAGCGGUGAAAUGCUUAGAUAUUACAUGGAAUACCAAUUGCGAAGGCAGGUUACUAACAAUAUAUUGACGCUGAUGGACGAAAGCGUGGGUAGCGAACAGGAUUAGAUACCCUGGUAGUCCACGCCGUAAACGAUGGAUACUAGCUGUUGGGAGCAAUCUCAGUGGCUAAGCGAAAGUGAUAAGUAUCCCACCUGGGGAGUACGAACGCAAGUUUGAA
rnacentral:rRNA from 1 species